AUGCUGAAACGGCAUCCCACAUACAAAAUAGGGGAAGAUUGGCAUAGAUGUUGGCUCAGUGACAAUUUUCCUCACCAAAAAAAAAAAAUACUACAGUCUCAGUUGCCUUGUGUGCAACUGAAAAUGACUUGCAGUGGAUGGGCGAUGACAAUUCCUACACCACAUGUGCAGAGUCUCUCCUCCCAGCCAGCAAGAAGACAGGACACAGGAUGCAGAGACAUGCCACCGGUUCCAGCUUGGUGGCAUUGCGUCCUGUGUAUGUCACGGCCCUGCCAUCCACUCCUUCUCCAGAAACCAUGCCCACCCACCAAACUUCAUGCACCUGUCAAGGCCCCACUGUGCCCGCCAGCAGCACCCGGAGGGCUGGCCCACACACCCGCAGGAAGAGACCCAGCUGCCAGAUCACACAACCCACUUCUCCCGAGUGGGAGUGGCAUGUCACUUCCUGCCUGUCGUGUCGAGGUGCAAGAAUUCUUUCUUUGGCCAUGUCACUUUCCUCAGGAGCAAAGGAGCUUCAGAACAGGUCAUGCACAGGCCACAUGGUCCUGCCUGGUGGCCGCCAGUCACCCUUCAUCUGAACUGACAUGAGCGAGGUUUCUCCCCUCAGGAACAUGAAGGCUUCCUAACCACCCCACCUCAUCCAUGACGGGCUGGUCCAAAGCCAUCCCCUCCCUCUGACCAGCUCCCACCAGAGCACGUGUCACAGCGAGACAAAGCAGGAAUGUCAACCUACCAGUUCAAUCAUUUGACUCAGACCCCCCAAAGCACCAGGCGAGCCAGGGUUUGUGCUUCCAUCGAUAGGUAAUCACUUAAAAUUCAAUUAUUUAUCUUUAUGUCCAAAACAUCACGCUGGCAAGGCUGGUUGGAAUGCCAAAAAGCCAUUUUUGCCAGCGUCCUGUUUCUCAUACUUGCAAACAUCUCAGAGGUUGAUUGUCCUACAACCCAUUUACAUAGAUGGGCCAGCACUGAGUCACCCUACCAGCUGGAGCUCUGUCUCCUCAUCCAGGAUUGAGCUGUGCACACUGGUGUGCGCAGGUCCACCUGCUGACGACCGUCUAACCUCUCUCCUGCUGUCCAGCCAGCCUCCUGGAUUGAGACACCCAGACUGACCCUGUGCCCUGAACCUCAGACCAUGGCCCCAACGACCUGCUUAACAUCUCCCCCGGGGUGUCAGACACACCUUCACACCAGCACCUCAAAGACAAGACCCAUACCUCCCACCCCGCCUCAGCUCCACUGGUUCAGCUGUGAGAAACUGUCUCCACAUAACCCAGGCUGAAGCAAGAGAGACGUUCAUCUUUUCUUUUUCUUUUUCUGUCAGGUCAGGCAAUUUAUUUAAAUUUUUUAAGUUUUUAAGUUUUGAAAGCUUGAGACUUACAGAAAAGUUGCAAAAGUGGGAUGGUGAUGUCCUGUAUAGCUUCACUUGGCUUUCCCCACUGUCAGCAUCUGACCUAACUGUAGGGCGGCCAUCAAAACCAAGAAACUCCUGUUGGUUAAGCACUGUUAACCGGCCUCUAGGCUUAGUGCGAAUCUCAGCCGCGUUUCCACCAACACCCUUUUUCCAGAACAUUCCAGCACCCCGUGUGGU
rnacentral:lncRNA from 1 species